AUGGCACCUAGAGCAACAAUGGCACAACAAGCAACAAGAGCACCUAGAGCGACAAUGGCACAACAAGUGGUGGUAGAAGACGUUGAAAAAGAUGUUGAAGAUGAAGAAUUGGAGGAAUAUUUUGAAGAUGAAGACCUCUUUGAUGAUGAUGCUACAUGGUUUCUAUGUUUGCUUGAAUUUUCAUAUAAUAGUAUUAAGUUUGAAUUUUAA